GCGGGUAUAGUUUAGUGGUAAAACCCUAGCCUUCCAAGCUAACGAGGCGGGUUCGAUUCCCGCUACCCGCU
rnacentral:tRNA from 2 species